UUAUCAAAAUACCGAAUAUUGGUGUGUAUUGUUAUAUGUGCGCUAUAGGAAAACGUGGACCUAGAUAUUCAAUGUUCUGACACCGAAGCUAAAACCCAUUAUGAACUACAAAUAUCAAUUUUUAGACAAAUUCGUGGAAAAAUGUGGCAAAAUUCAUCAAACUACGAAUAUCGGGAGGUAUCGUUAUAUGGCGGCUAUACAAAAACGUGGACCUAUACCUACAAUGUUUGGCCACCGGAGCUAGAACACAUUAUGACUUACAACUACCAAUUUUUAAACAAAUCCGUAAAAAAUGUGGCGAAAAUCAUCGAAAUACCGAAUAUCGGGAGGUACCGUUAUAUGGCGGCUAUAACAAAACCGACCGAUGUAUCCCACGUUCAAUACCAACCAUCCUAGACACAAUACAAAUAGUUUUGCCAACUUUUUUGACUGGCUUAAGUCAUCGGCUGGCUUCUUCGAAAAAUAACAAAGGAGCGUUCUAAUCUCCAAGCCGUCAAACGAACAAAAAACCAAUACAGAAAUGUCAAAGUCGUUGGUACGGGCUUUGUAAUACCCUACACCACAUUGCCUAUUAAGUAGAGCUUCCCUUAACGUUAAUAUAGACCAAUUAUGUGGAGUAGAUUUUGCCAAAUGCAUAUUAUGGCUUUACAGAAGUUUUUAUUUAAAAGACCAACACCAAUAUCACCAACAUCCAUCCUUUUUAAGCUGACAUUACACUUUUGAUGCACAAUAAACAUAUAAUCGGAUGAAAAUAUAUAUGAGAGCUAUAUCCAAAUUUGAACCGGUCUUUACAAAAUUUAGCAAAGGUAUUUCUAUUUCUAUCAUUGUUGUGGAAUACUACAUACAUAACACACUAUCAAUUGAAAUGGAAGUAAAAAGGUUGCCCAUUCACACUCAGAAUAAAAUUGUAAUCGAUUCUGCCAAAUUGUAUAUUUAAAUACUUUGUGGUAAAUUUCUCCACUUGUACACUAUUGCUACCUUGACACACUUCAUACUACAAUCAUAAUGAACUCAUUGGAAACGAAGCCUCUAAUCUUAAAAUUUCUGUUUCUGUUUUAUAUUUAAUUAAAGACAGUUGUCCGCACCACCAAAGAAGAUUGAUUUGAAUACUGUUUUCUUGGAAGUAUACCAAAGAUAUCUCACCUUCUUUCUCGGCCUUUGGCUCAGAUUUAACACAAGCUGCUGUUGAGUCCAGUUUUAAUUCUUGCUUAACUUUAGUUUUAAACUCGCUACCUUGCCACACUUCACACAACAACCAUAAUUAACGCAAUGGAAUCGAAACCGUGUUAAUCUCAAACUUUCUGUUUAAA